rnacentral:lncRNA from 1 species
AGGAUAGCAAUUAAACAUGAAAAUCAUAUUCCAGAUUCUAUGGGUUCUGAGCAUUUGCUUCUCGGCCAGUCAGAGUCAAGAAAAGAAUAAUGGAUUCAAUCAAAGACGACAGUUGCAUUCAUCUGGUCGAGAUCUAGCUCGAUCACAAUCUGCUAAAGCCAAGCCUCUUCCAAAUUCAAAUCCACCAAGAUCCAUCUUGCCUCAGUAUCACCAAAACUUAGCUAGCCAGUCACUAAGCAGAUCAACCAAUUCAAAGUUACUUCCUCCUAAAAAGCAACUUCCUUUAAAGUCAUCUAUCCCAAAAAAACUAGCAAAACUACAAACUCAUUCAAAUAAAGCUAGCCAACCAAAACUAGGUCCAACUGAGAACAGUUCAAAAACUCAAAGUAGGUCUAGGCAGUCACAAGUUUACCAAAAUAACUCUAUUCAAAAAAGGCCUCAUUUCAAGUCAACUAUUCACAAUAGACCCCAUUCAUUACAUCCUGGUCAAUUACGGUACUCUAAGAAACAGCCUCAAAAAUCCCAAUCUCCUCCAAAUCCAUCUGUUAAAAAGUGAUAAAGCCAUUCAAAUCUCUUUCAAAUACAGCCCUUCAGCAAAAACCUCAACUAACGAAGCAUAAUCCUAAUUCACACACUCUACAAAAAGCUAGCCUAAACAAGCCACAACCUAAUAAAUUUGUUAAAAGAAGAACCAGACAAAGAAAGCCUAAUUCAAAAGCACUUGUCCAAAAUAUACCAAGCCACACCAAAACUCAUCUAGAAGCACCUGGUGGAAGAAAACGUAUACAGCCGCUCAAUCCAAGAAAAUGUCUACAACCAUCUAGUCAAGGAAGACGUCCACAGUCAUCUAAUCGAAGACAACACCCACAUCCGCUUGGUCAAAAAAUACCAAAUCCACUAAUUAAAGUACCCAGACAAAUUAAGGCCACACAUUGUAUUAGGCCACACAUUCAAAACAAACCUGAAUCACACCACUAUCAUCCACAUGUACAUCUUUCUCCAGACAACCCAUAUCCAUCUCCCUUCAUUCCCAGCCUGAAACCUCAGGUGCAACCAACUAGCAAAGUGGUAAGCACCAGAACCCAAGUCUUAAACACAACUCCGUUUGCUGCCAUUGCCACCACAACUCCCCACUACACUAUCAGCUCCAACACAACCUCAGCUACAACCACAAACAAAAUAUCAUCUGAUCUCAUCUUCAAAAGUACAACUCCUUCUGAUAUCACAGUUUCCAGUCCUAAAACCCAAGUUCCAGUUACCAUUCCACUCACUGCUGCAACCACGUCUAAUGCUCCAACUACCGAGAUUUCACCUCCCCUUGUUACUGCCACUACUCUUCCUGCCACCAUGCAAACAACUCCUUUUACCAUACAUACCAUACUCAAGAUGACCACUGAGUCAGGAUAUGAAACAACAGAACUUCCCUACAGCAGCACUAACCCUGAUAAUAACUACAUAUAUGAAACUACAGAAUCUUAUUACUAUGAUGAAUUUGAUGUCUCUAAUUCUGAAAUUACAGCAUCCACCUAUACCACUCCAAAACCUGCCUCUACCACCAACUAAAUACCAGUUUUCUAAAGUAUAUUGCUGUUAACUUCAUGAUUAUAUCUUUUUCUUUAAAAUAAUUUUCCAUAGUAUUUAAAAAGACAAUAAAAAUGAAGCAAGUGAAAUUAUGAAGUAUUUUGUGAUUUCAUUAGAAAAGAACACCCUAGGUAGUCAUUCUAAAGUAUUACCCUCCUUUUCCACCUCCGCCACUGAGUGCUCUGAGUCCACCAAGUCCUCAGAGAAUUAGAUAAUUUAAAGUACAAAUAAAAACACUUCUAGAAUCAUCUUUAAGACUGAAAGCUUAGCAUUGGGUUGAAGAGGGGAAAGAAAUUAGUAGACUUUCAGGGAUUUCUUUGAAAAUUGUAAUUUAAUUUGCUCUAGUAGAAAAGGAUAAAGGAAAUAUUGUGAACUGCUUAAAGGUAUAGUGGCAGUCAGAUUAGUAUUGAGUCUUAUUCCUCUUCAAAUUCUUCAUCUAUUAAAAUGAUAAUAAUGCCUUAUCUUAUAAAAUAGUUGAGAAAUUCAAAAGAAAUGAUGAACCUGACAUAGGUACCUGGCACCACUUUAGAGUAACCAUUUAGAGUAACCACUAAAUGGUUGUUAUUGUCAGAUCAUGUGAAGUUAUUCUUUACACCUAGACAUGAAUUGGAACUUUCUCUGCUUUUUUCAUUGCACAUUAGCUGAGCACUUGGCAGGCAUUAUUCCCGCAGUGGGACAAUGUUGAUGUUGGCUUCUUUAGAACCCAUUCAUUCUGAUCUGUCACACCUUGGAAAACCAGGCUACCUUGCUCCAUACAAAAAGUCAGGUAGUUCGAUUAGGUAGAUAGGCUCUUCAGUCCUUAUUAGCUCUUGAUUUUUAUCAUUUUCUUUAGUGUGUCUUUCAGAGAUUCAAUGCAAAAUUGGAUAUUAAAGCAAAAUAUCACUUAGAGAAUACAGAUUAUAUGAAUUUAAGCUUCACUUUUGAGACUUAUACUCUAUCAAAUUUGCCCUCUAGGUUGAUUCUGCUUUUGAGGAAGGUCAAUAAAGUGAAAUAUUUUGGAAAAGAUUUGUGUCAUGUUAUGUCACAUGCUGUGUAAACUGGAUGAAAUACAGUACAGCAAAAGAAAUUUUUCUAAAUUUUUACAGAAUUUAUUUCUGAAAAUAGGUGACUAAAAUGUCAGUACAUACAUCAAAAGUACCACCAGGCACUGAAAAAAAUCACUGUUGACAUCUUUACCUAGUUUCUUCAAAAAAUACAUGUAAAUUCUCCUCUAAUUAGAGAGACAUUUUUAUUUUUGAAAACAUGUCUCUCUCCUCUGGGUUAUCUGUAUUUAAAAUGUUCUCUUCUUGGAUAGUGCUCAUUUAAAGUGGCAAAUUAUUUUGCUUCCCUUCUAGAGAUUGAAGUAUUUCUCUUUUUUAUGUCAAUCAAUGAAAGAUGUCUAGGACUCCCAAAUUAUUGAUCACCAUCUGGGCUUUUAUCCCCAUAUGGAUCUAUAUAUGUCCUAUUAAAACCAGAUCUCUCACCCUCCUGUUGGCCUCUACCUUUCCACUGUGCUCUCUAAACUCAAGUGAAAGUCAGUUGUGAGCACAAUACCAUGGGUUUUCAGUCUCUAUUCAGAAAGUUCCUGUCAUCCUAUUUCCCUAACUGGGACUAGGUUCCUCGAAGUAGACUUCCCAGCCUUGACUACUUUUUUCUCAUACCUCCAUGAAGCACAGGACCUGGAGAUAGGAUAUAUGGGUACCUCAUAGCCAUUCCUAGAUUAUUUCCAUUCUCUUUCCCUCAAAAACCCAUAAUUCCCUUAAAGUGUGUGUCAUCAGAGUUUACAAAUACUACUCUCCCUUUUUGUAGUUACCUGUUCUGCCUUCAAUCACUCUUCCAGUCACUGAACAUUUUACUUCCCAGAUCACUAACUUUUUCCCCACCAUUGCUUUUUCAUGCUUGGGGACUCCAACGAUCGCAUAGGAGAUUUGCUUAAAAUCUGGCCUCACUUCUUUCACUUCACAUCCAAUGAUUCUUCCCUCCACCCUUUCCCAUGGUUAAACCCUGGGAAUCAAUUACUGGACCUCUGCCAAAUUCCCAAUUCCAAGCUUUCUAUUCUGUAAUCACCAUCUUCUAUCUUUCCAGCUCCAGUACUACCAAUCUCAAUAAUCUUUGGUAUAUCUGGCCUUUAAUCAAUUCACCUCCCCAGCUGGGCCAAGCAAGGUCCAUCACCUCCCUUCUGUCCCUUUUUCUCUUCUUACAUAACUGUAGCCCAUUAAUAUUAUAUUUUUAUUUAUACAUGCUGAACACCUUCUUUUAUGUAUAUGUAUUUUUACAUAAAACUCUCACUCUGCACAAGCAUAAGGUAAACUUCAACAUCACUGCAUAUGCCCUUUUCUAAUUCACAAAAUUCCAGGCAUAUAUACAUUAUAACCAGAGUGUGAUGAAACAUUAGAAUAAAG